CCCUUAGAUGUUCUGGGCCGCACGCGCGCUACACUGAUACAUUCAACGAGUUUCUUCCUGGUCCGAGAGGAAUGGGUAACCUUUUGAAAGUGCAUCGUGAUAGGGAUAGACUAUUGCAAUUAUUGGUCUUCAACGAGGAAUUCCUAGUAGACGUAGUUCAUCAGACUGCAUCGAUUACGUCCCUGCCCUUUGUACACACCGCCCGUCGCUCCUACCGAUUGAAUGCUCAGGUGAGCCAUUCGGACUUUCAUCAUGCUGGUUUCCAGUUUUGAUGAAGGAAAGUCUUGCGAACCUUAUCAUUUAGAGGAAGGAGAAGUCGUAACA
rnacentral:rRNA from 1 species